rnacentral:lncRNA from 1 species
CAACCUCUAAUGUGCCCCGUCAUGUCCUCCUCCCCUCCGCGGACCCGGUAGCUAGCUCUCCCGUACGUAGGCCAUCUCUCCGCCCGUGACCACCACCAAGAGGCGUCCCCGGCAGAGAUCAACGACGGCGGCAGGGGCGCUUCCCGACGUCUCAACUCUCAAGGUGAGUCUUCUCCACUGAAUACUCCCUCCUCUUCCUCCUUCAUUUCUCUGAUUUAUCUUUCUGCUUCCGUUCCGUACGUGACAAGUAACCCGCCCACAUCCAUCUCAAUCCUUCCUACCCUCCACCAACAACCAUGUCGACGCCUCCGAUUCCAGCGACGAGGCCUGCACCGACGCUGCCGGACGAGCUUAUCGAGGAGGUCUUCCUCCGCCUCCCACCGGACGAGCCCUCGAGCCUCGUGCGUGCCUCCCUGGCCAGCAGUUUUUGGCUCGGCCUCCUCACCGGCACUAGCUUCUCCGUUGGCUACCGAGAGUUCCAUGAUGCUCCCCCCAUGCUGGGCUUCUUUUAUUCCUGGCUCCACGCCGACCGCCCUGCCGACGAAGGAGAACCCCCCGUCCAGCGCUUUGCCUUCACCACAAAAUUCGGCGCGCGCAUUCCCGAGGUCGAGGAAUGGGACGACUAUGAAGCGUUGGACUGCCGCCAUGGCCGCGUUCUCUUUGAAAACCCCUUUGGGUGUCCAUGACGGGCUGCACGAGAUACCUGGAGAAGCCCGAUGGAUGCUGUGAGCGGCUGUGACCACCGCUUGUGUGACGGGGGGCCCGUCCGUGUGGUCUUUUUCACGACGGGCGACGAUGAUGGUUGUGUUGCACACGUGUCCGUCGCGUUGCUGGAGAUGGAUGAUGCGUGGAGGGAGAGCUCUGAUCUUGAUCUUGAGCUUGAGUGGACCCUGAGCACUGGUCUUGAACUUGAAGCUAGGCAUGCAUUCAUUCCGGAAAUACUGCCCCCUGUCCUCAUCAAAGACGCACUCUACUUCAUGCUUUCCAUUGUUGAUGGUGUUCGUGACAUGGCUAUUCUCAAGUACGACAUGGCCUCUGAUGGCUUGUCAUUGAUUGAUCUACCCGACGUGCGCUCUAAUGGCUUACCGCUCAAAGACCAUUCCUUUAUCCCCAUGGCCAUGGGGGAUGGCAAUUUGGGGUUUGCACAAGUGGACGGGUUAACCCUCAAUCUAUGGUCAAGCUCAAUCCAGACGGGUGUCGAGGGCCUUGCGUCAUGGACUCAGCAUAGAGUUGUCGAUCUCAACAAGAACCUUCUCCCUAUUCGGAAUCCCAAGCAAAGUCUUAGGCUGAUUGGAUCUGUGGAAGGCAGUGAUAUCAUUUUCGUGACUACAGACCUUGGCAUCUACUCCCUCCGUUCCAAAAUAGACGACUCAACUUUGUACUAAAGUUAGUACAAAGUUGAGUCAUCUAUUUUGAAACGGAGGGAGUACCAGAUUAGUCUCAUGUCCCUCGGGUGGAAGAAGCUAUGGAAGAGCGAGAAGUUCAGUGCUUUGAUUCCGUACAUGAGUUUCUACAAUCCACAAGGUAUAUUUAUAUGUCCAUUUGUUUCUGAUUUGGUAACAACCACCCUUAAAUAAUAAGCCCUCUGUUCCAAAGUAAGUGUCGCUCUCAAGUAUUUUACACCUAGCUAUAUUUGAUGUUUAACCAGAUGAAAAUUUAUAUUUGAUGUUUUUAAUUUGUGAUAAUGUAUGUGGGCUCAAGAAAACUUUGAGCGCUAUGUACUAUACUUGAAUUUUACACCUAGUUAUUCUUAUGAAGGGGUAUGGAAUCACACAAAUAAAUCUACAUUUGCAGAGAGGAUCAACCCCUACGAUGAAGCUCAUUGAUGGCUUAGUGUUGAAUGUGCUUAAGAGCAGAAGGCCAAUAUCAUCAAUUGGAAAAAUGACCACUUGAAGGGGCAACGUGGUCUCGUGAUGAAUUAUGCACUAUUAAUAGCUGGUUUGGUGCGAUGGUGUUUGUUUUGUCAUUUUGUUGGUAACUUAGUCGGCCAGCAUAAUAAUUCCCGGUGUUAAGUGGCAUGCGUAAGCGGGUGAAGGGAUUAUCUUUGUAAUGAACCUACUAGUUGUCACAGGAAUUGACAGAGCUAACCGACUUCCUCAUAAUUGAAAUGUCUUAUCUUCUAUAAUUGAUGUCUUAAUAUCUUUCAAUAUCAAGUUGCCGCAUUUG